GUGGCGAACGGGUGAGUAACACGUGAGUAACCUGCCCUUGACUCUGGGAUAAGCCUGGGAAACUGGGUCUAAUACUGGAUAUGACCGACUAUCGCAUGGUGGUUGGUGGAAAGCUUUUGUGGUUUUGGAUGGACUCGCGGCCUAUCAGCUUGUUGGUGGGGUAAUGGCCUACCAAGGCGACGACGGGUAGCCGGCCUGAGAGGGUGGACGGCCACACUGGGACUGAGACACGGCCCAGACUCCUACGGGAGGCAGCAGUGGGGAAUAUUGCACAAUGGGCGCAAGCCUGAUGCAGCGACGCCGCGUGAGGGAUGAAGGCCUUCGGGUUGUAAACCUCUUUCAGUAGGGAAGAAGCGAAAGUGACGGUACCUGCAGAAGAAGCGCCGGCUAACUACGUGCCAGCAGCCGCGGUAAUACGUAGGGCGCAAGCGUUAUCCGGAAUUAUUGGGCGUAAAGAGCUCGUAGGCGGUUUGUCGCGUCUGCCGUGAAAGUCCGGGGCUUAACUCCGGAUCUGCGGUGGGUACGGGCAGACUUGAGUGAUGUAGGGGAGACUGGAAUUCCUGGUGUAGCGGUGAAAU
rnacentral:rRNA from 1 species